rnacentral:rRNA from 1 species
CCUACGGGUGGCAGCAGUGAGGAAUAUUUGUCAAUGGACGGAAGUCUGAUCCAGCGAUGCCGCGUGCAGGAAGACGGCUCUAUGAGUUGUAAACUGCUUUUGUACAAGGGUAAACCUGAAUACGUGUAUUCAGCUGAAAGUACUGUACGAAUAAGGAUCGGCUAACUCCGUGCCAGCAGCCGCGGUAAGACGGAGGAUCCAAGCGUUAUCCGGAUUUCUUGGGUUUCACGGGUGCGUAGGCGGAUGGAUAAGUUAGAGGUGAAAUGUCCGAGCUUAACUCGGGAACUGCCUAUAAUACUGUUGAUCUAGAGAGUAGGUGGGGUAGGCGGAAUGUAUGGGGUAGCGGUGAAAUGCUUAGAGAUCAUACAGAACACCGAUUGCGAAGGCAGCUUACCAAUCUAUAUCUGACGUUGAGGCACGAAAGCGUGGGGAGCAAACAGGAUUAGAUACCCUAGUAGUC